UAAUACGUAGGGGGCCAGCGUUGUCCGGAUUCAUUGGGCGUAAAGCGCGUGUAGGCGGCCAGGUAGGUCCGAUGUGAAAUCUGGAGGCUCAACCUCCAGCGGUCAUUGGAAACCAUCUGGCUAGAGUCCGGAAGAGGAGAGUGGAAUUCCUGGUGUAGCGGUGAAAUGCGCAGAUAUCAGGAAGAACACCAAUGGCGAAGGCAGCUCUCUGGGACGGUACUGACGCUGAGACGCGAAAGCGUGGGGAGCGAACAGGAUUAGAUACCCUGGUAGUCCACGCCGUAAACGAUGGGCGCUAGGUGUGGGCGGUGUCGACUCCGUCCGUGCCGAAGCUAACGCAUUAAGCGCCCCGCCUGGGGAGUACGGCCGCAAGGCUA
rnacentral:rRNA from 1 species